rnacentral:miRNA from 1 species
AUGUAUGUUACUGAUGCUUUAUAUAUAUAUAUAUAUAUAUGUGUGUGUGUGUGUGUGUGUGUGUAUACAUACACACACCGCAAACCUUAUGUGUAUCAACACA